rnacentral:snoRNA from 1 species
CAAAAAAAUGAUGACCAACCAUGCUAAUAUUGAGAAAACUCAAGGUUUUCGCUGAGUAAAACUAUCUUCUCAACCCGCUGAUAUGAAU